UUUGUCCCUGGAGGUGACAGCGGGGGGACACAGGUGACGUCACUGGGUGUCCAGGACAGCUGGGUUUGUCCCUGGAGGUGACACGGAGGUGACAGGACACGGCUGGCAUCACUCGGUGUCCCUGGUCACCCCGGGUGACCCCCAAAGUGUCCCCUUUGUCCCCAGCAGUGGCCGCAGCGGUUGGGGGGUCCCUCCUGUCCCUGCUCCUCCUCCUCGGUGCCAUCGUGGGGUGGCACCGGUGCCACCGCCGGGCCCCCAGGACGCCCCAGGACAGGACCCCCCCGCUGUCCCCCGAGGAGGGGGAGGUGCUCUACACCCGCGUGGUGCCCACCGAGAGGGCAGCGGGGUCCCCAAGUGCCACCCCCCAGGUGAUCUACGCGGAGCUGCCAGGACCUCAGUGGCACCCAGGGGACAGCGGUGACUACGAGAACGUGCUGUGACACCGGGUGGCACUCGGGGGUGGCACUAGGUCCCCUGAUGCCACCCAGGGGACAGCGGU